AUUGAACGCUGGCGGAAUGCUUUACACAUGCAAGUCGAACGGCAGCACGGGAGCUUGCUCCUGGUGGCGAGUGGCGAACGGGCGAGUAAUGCGUCGGAACGUGCCGAGUAAUGGGGGAUAACGCAGCGAAAGUUGUGCUAAUACCGCAUACGCCCUGAGGGGGAAAGUGGGGGAUCGCAAGACCUCACGUUAUUCGAGCGGCCGACGUCUGAUUAGCUAGUUGGUGGGGUAAAGGCCUACCAAGGCGACGAUCAGUAGCGGGUCUGAGAGGAUGAUCCGCCACACUGGGACUGAGACACGGCCCAGACUCCUACGGGAGGCAGCAGUGGGGAAUCUUAGACAAUGGGCGCAAGCCUGAUCUAGCCAUGCCGCGUGAGCGAUGAAGGCCUUAGGGUUGUAAAGCUCUUUCAGUGGGGAAGAUAAUGACUGUACCCACAGAAGAAGCCCCGGCUAACUCCGUGCCAGCAGCCGCGGUAAAGUAGACGU
rnacentral:rRNA from 1 species